rnacentral:rRNA from 1 species
UACAGAGGUCUCAAGCGUUGUUCGGAUUCAUUGGGCGUAAAGGGUGCGUAGGCGGCGCGGUAAGUCGGGUGUGAAAUCUCGGAGCUUAACUCCGAAACUGCAUUCGAUACUGCCGUGCUUGAGGACUGGAGAGGAGACUGGAAUUUACGGUGUAGCGGUGAAAUGCGUAGAUAUCGUAAGGAAGACCAGUGGCGAAGGCGGGUCUCUGGUCUGUAACUGACGCUGAGGCGCGAAAGCGUGGGGAGCGAACAGG